CCACAAAUUAGUGUCUAACGGCUAGUUUUCAAAGGGGACUGCUUAAAUAGCCAGAGUGAACAGUAGUAGACACCAAGAGAGCUAUUCCAUUCAAACAAAAAGGAAUUUCCACCUACCAAAGGCUCUCAAGAGUAAAUAUAAGAGAAAGAAGGAAGAAGCACAUUGAACUCCAUCCAACAAACUCUUUCCUUCGCAUUCAAG
rnacentral:lncRNA from 1 species